UACAGAGGGUGCAAGCGUUAAUCGGAAUUACUGGGCGUAAAGCGUGCGUAGACGGUUAUUUAAGUCAGGUGUGAAAGCCCCGGGCUCAACCCGUGGGAAUUGCAUUUGAGACUGAAUAGCUAGGGUGCGGAAGAGGGAAGCGGGAAUUUCCGGUGUAGCGGUGAAAUGCGUAGAUAUCGGAAGGAACACCAGUGGCGAAAGCGGCUUCCUGGUCCAGCACCGACGUUCAGGCACGAAAGCGUGGGGAGCAAACAGG
rnacentral:rRNA from 1 species